UACGUAGGGUGCGAGCGUUAAUCGGAAUUACUGGGCGUAAAGCGUGCGUAGGCGGUUCGCUGUGUCCGAUGUGAAAGCCCCGGGCUUAACCUGGGAAUGGCAUUGGAAACUGGCGGGCUUGAGUGCGGCAGAGGGGGUGGAAUUCCGGCGUGUAGCAGUAAAAUGCGUAGAAGAUGCGGAGGAACACCGAUGGCGAAGGCAGCCCCUGGGUCGACCACUGACGCUCAGGCACGAAAGCGUGGGGAGCAAACAGG
rnacentral:rRNA from 1 species